rnacentral:rRNA from 1 species
CGGAAGGAUCAUUAAUGUUAUAGCAACCCUCUGGCUGAAAAUGCCAGGGGGCACAUCUAUACCACCCUUUGUUUAUCACACCUUUGUUGCUUUGGCAGGCCAGUCUUCGGACUGCCGGCUCCGGCCGGACAGCGCCUGCCAGAGGACCUAAACUCUGUUUGUCUAUAAUGUCUGAGUACUAUAUAAUAGUUAAAACUUUCAACAACGGAUCUCUUGGUUCUGGCAUCGAUGAAGAACGCAGCGAAAUGCGAUAAGUAAUGUGAAUUGCAGAAUUCAGUGAAUCAUCGAAUCUUUGAACGCACAUUGCGCCCCCUGGUAUUCCGGGGGGCAUGCCUGUUCGAGCGUCAUUACAACCCUCAAGCUCUGCUUGGUAUUGGGCCCCGCCGACCCGGCGAGCCCUAAAAUCAGUGGCGGUGCCGUCUGGUUCCGAGCGUAGUAAUUCUUCUCGCUUUGGAGGCCGGGCGUGUGCUUGCCAGCAACCCCCAAUUUUUUUCAGGUUGACCUCGGAUCAGGUAGGGAUACCCGCUGAACUUAAGCAUAUCAUUAAGCGGAGGAAAAGAAAUCAACAGGGAUUACCUCAGUGAUCGGCGAGUGAAGCGGUAACAGCUCAAAUUUGAAAUCUGGCCUCACGGUCCGAGUUGUAAUUUGUAGAGGAUGCUUCGAGCAUGGUCUGACCUAAGUUCCUUGGAACAGGACGUCAUAGAGGGUGAGAAUCCCGUAUGCGGUCAGGUGCCUACGCUCAUGUGAAGCUCCUUCGACGAGUCGAGUUGUUUGGGAAUGCAGCUCAAAAUGGGUGGUAAAUUUCAUCUAAAGCUAAAUAUUGGCCAGAGACCGAUAGCGCACAAGUAGAGUGAUCGAAAGAUGAAAAGCACUUUGGAAAGAGAGUUAAACAGUACGUGAAAUUGAUGAAAGGGAAGCGCUUGCA